GCUGGGCAUGGUAGUUCAUGCCUGUAAUCCCAGCACUUUGGGAGGCCGAGGCGGGUGGAUCACCUGAGGUCAGGAGUUCAAGACCAGCCUGGCCAACAUGGUGAAACCCCGUCUCUA
rnacentral:SRP_RNA from 2 species